rnacentral:rRNA from 1 species
GGCUUAGAGUUUGAUCCUGGCUCAGAACGAACGCUGGCGGCAUGCCUAAUACAUGCAAGUCGAACGAGAUCUUCGGAUCUAGUGGCGCACGGGUGCGUAACGCGUGGGAAUCUGCCCUUGGGUUCGGAAUAACUUCGGGAAACUGAAGCUAAUACCGGAUGAUGACGAAAGUCCAAAGAUUUAUCGCCCAGGGAUGAGCCCGCGUAGGAUUAGCUAGUUGGUGGGGUAAAGGCUCACCAAGGCAACGAUCCUUAGCUGGUCUGAGAGGAUGAUCAGCCACACUGGGACUGAGACACGGCCCAGACUCCUACGGGAGGCAGCAGUAGGGAAUAUUGGACAAGGGGCGAAAGCCUGAUCCGGCAAUGCCGCGUGA